UUCAUUCACACUUGACACCCGAGCUUCUUCCUCACGAGCUGCUUCUUCUCUGGUCGCAUGAGCUUCUUCCGCCGUGGCCGCCAUUCGCAUCGCACGAUCUCUCUGUCAUCCCUUGCGUCGCACGAGCUCCUUCCGCCGCCGCUCUUGUCGCGUCUGCUCCCUUGGUCGCCAUCGUUGCAGAGCUCCUUCCGCCGCUCUCAUCGCGUCUGCUCCCUUCAUAGCCGUCGUCACAGAGCUCUCUCUGCCGCCGCUCUUGUCGCGUUUGCUCCCUUAGUGAAUUUCAGGUUUAUCAAUUAUUUUACUAUCAGCGAAGAAAGAGAUUCCAGAUUGAUAACAACAUAGAGAUGCCAGAGUUAUGCCCGGAAUGGUUAGCAUUGUUGAUCUUUGAGAAGGCUUGUUUAUCUUCCAUUUCUCUUUAUGAAACUUCUGGUGUUGUAUGUAAGACUGGUCGAAAUUUUAA